AUUGAACGCUAGCGGCAGGCUUAAUACAUGCAAGUCGAGGGGUAGCAGGACUGUAGCAAUACAGUUGCUGGCGACCGGCAAACGGGUGCGGAACACGUACGCAACUUACCCUUGUCUGGGGCAUAGCCCACCGAAAGGUGGAUUAACUCCCCAUAAGAUAGUGGUGUGGCAUCACACAGCUAUUAAAACUGAGGUGGACAAGGAUGGGCGUGCGGCUGAUUAGGUAGUUGGUGUGGGUAACGGCCCACCAAGCCUGCGAUCAGUAACUGGUGUGAGGGCACGACCAGUAACACGGGCACUGAGACACGGGCCCGACUCCUACGGGAGGCAGCAAUAAGGAAUAUUGGUCAAUGGAGGCAACUCUGAACCAGCCAUGCCGCGUGGAGGAUGAAGGCCCUCUGGGUUGUAAACUUCUUCUACAGGGGACGAAACACUUCUAUUCUUAGGAGCUUGACGGUACCCUGGGAAUAAGCACCGGCUAACUCCGUGCCAGCAGCCGCCGUAAAAC
rnacentral:rRNA from 1 species